GUUGAACGCUGGCGGCAUGCCUAAUACAUGCAAGUAGAACGAGGCGCGGACGGGUGUAUAGUGUCGGGAACCCUGCCUGAAGGAGGGGAAUAACUACUGAAAACAGUAGCUAAUACCCCAUACCUUCGGUUGUGCCCAGAUGGGAUUAGCUAGUAGGUGGGGUAACGGCUCACCUAGGCGACGAUACCGAGCUGGUCUGAGAGGAUGAGCAGCCACACUGGAACUGAGACACGGUCCAGACUCCGACGGGAGGCAGCAGUGGGGAAUAUUGGACAAUGGGCGCAAGCCUGAUGCAGCCAUGCCGCGUGUAGGAAGAAGGCCUUCGGGUUGUAAAGUACUUUCAGCGGGGAGGCGUGAACCGCAGAAGAAGCACCGGCUAACUCCGUGCCAGCAGCCGCGGUAAUAC
rnacentral:rRNA from 1 species